CGGAGGGGCUAGCGUUGUUCGGAAUUACUGGGGCGUAAAGCGCACGUAGGCGGCUUUGUAAGUCAGAGGUGAAAGCCCGGAGCUCAACUCCGGAAUUGCCUUUGAGACUGCAUCGCUUGAAUCCAGGAGAGGUGAGUGGAAUUCCGAGUGUAGAGGUGAAAUUCGUAGAUAUUCGGAAGAACACCAGUGGCGAAGGCGGCUCACUGGACUGGUAUUGACGCUGAGGUGCGAAAGCGUGGGGGAGCAAACAGGAUU
rnacentral:rRNA from 1 species